CGCCCUGGCAAGCCUUAAACCUUGGCCUGACCACCGGUGACAGCAGUGCUGCACUACGUCAUGCAGAUUUGUCUUCUCACAGAGGCUUCUGCCAAGUCUCCUCAUCGCUUGUGAUGCUCUUCCCAGUUCUCUCUGGCUCUCUAACACUGCUUUCCAGAUGGGGCAGCCGGUCUCCAGAGUGCAAGUGGAAGCAGUCCCAAGGAUCAAAUAUAAGCACAACGAUCAUUACACACGUGCCUCGCAAGCAUGAGUUGUGCAGAGAUUUCCAUUGAGCUGCAUAAAACGUCCCCAGUCUGUUUCUUGACUGGACGGAUGUAUACAUUAAUUGUAAAUAGAUCUGGUUUUAGCUCCAUAUGUUAAAUAAACAUUCAGUUUUCCAGUG